rnacentral:rRNA from 1 species
UACGUAGGGUGCGAGCGUUGUCCGGAAUUACUGGGUGUAAAGGGUGCGUAGGCGGGCAUGUGCGUCGGAGGUUAAAUACAACGGCUUAACCGUUGAACUGCCUUCGAAACGGCAUGUCUUGAAUGUGGGAGAGGAUGAUGGAAUUCCUGGUGGAGAGGUGAAAUGCGUAGAUAUCAGGAGGAACAAAGGGGGAGAAGGAGGUAAUCUGGACCAAUAUUGACGAUGAGGAAAGAAAGCGUGGGGAGCAAACAGG